AUGGUUCCCGACUCAUUUCAACAGGGCACUCUGAGAAACAGCCUCAGGUCUCUGGCCUCCCGACAAAAAUGCCUUUUGGGCCUUCUGCAGAAGCAGAGUGAGUUGAAACUCAAGGUCCACACUCAGAAAGUUCCCACCUCUGCCUCCAAAAAGAUGAAUGCUUUAGCAACAGGCAGCCUGAACAACCACUCCAUCCAGCCUGAUCACAGGCGGAUAGCAAAGGAUCUAAAAAUGUGUAUUUCUAAAAUAGAUCAAGUUGUUUCCAGUUCCUCUGAAUCAACUCUCACAGAAUUAAAGAAUCCACAGAAAGGAGGGGAUGGCCUUCAUUGCCAAAGCACUAAAUCCUUGCCUGGGGCCGGUCUGUCAGCAGUGCCCGUCUACACCUUAUCUCUACCCACUGCACUUCCACAGGGCCAGUCGGGCAUUGUUUUGGUCAACCAUGGAGGGAAGAGCUUUGCCUUUGUUGGCCUCUCCAAAUGUAGAGUACCUGUAGCGCCUAAAAAACAGCCCGUUUCCAGCCUUAGAUCUUCAACAUCUCCCCGCAGUUCCGCAGUUCAACCUCUCCCCGUUCCAUCUCCCGCUUCUCAAACAAGCCUGACUGACUUGGAACCCCCUGCAGUCUCACUGGCCCUGGCACAGAUGUGCAAUGUGAGCACCUCGCACCACGAGACCGUAGUGCCCGACGCUGGAGGCAGUAGCGGUGGUCCUGACGAAAGAUCGGUAACAUCAAAGACCAAGAGGAACGGUUUGAAAUCCAGCACUGGCCCUGAAGAUGCUGGAGAUGUCAAGGGCAGGUCCUUGAGCCCAGUUUACCCCCACCACAACGCUGAAGACAUGAACAGUGACAUUCAGCAAGACAGACCACCAGAGGCACAGGGCAGUGGUGCAUCACUAAGUGACGGGAGCAAGCUAGAGGAGAGCAACCGGCUAGCUACCCUCGUAAGACAAGGAGUCCUUCUGCCGGCAAAGAAUGCACUAGAGUUUGAACUGAAGGUAAAGUAA
rnacentral:lncRNA from 1 species